rnacentral:lncRNA from 1 species
GGGCCCAUAGUGGGUUAUAUUCUGCCUUGAGAUUCUGUGUGGAAGAGCCUUGAGAGAGGGGUCUCAGCCCCCUCCUUGGCUAGAAAGGGAGGGGCCAGGAGGAGCAGAGGAGCGAGGGGGCGUGGCCUAAGACGCCCAAGGCGCUUCAAGCCACGCCCCCUCGGAAUCUUCUCCUCCUCGGGCAGAGCCCCCUCAGCCCCCCCCCCCCCGCCUCUUGUUGGCUCCUAUUCAAAUGUGGGUCAGGGGUGAGAAGCGCGGCGACGUCCCGGGCGGGCAAGAUGGCGCCGCGAGGAAGGCGGUGAGAUGCGGGAGGCGCGGGUAUAAUAAAGGCACCGGCGGCGGGCAGCCAGGAGGGAGACACCGGGGCGGAGGAGGCGGCGAAGGAAGAGCCAGAGCCGGCCCUGGCAGAGAGGAAGCAUGCCAUUCAAAAGGUAAUGGUGCAUGUUGCCCCAGGGAAGAUUCCCCCUGUCGGUAGCUGAGGUGAUAAAGUGAACUGU